rnacentral:rRNA from 1 species
UACGGGGGGGGCAAGCGUUGUUCGGAAUUACUGGGCGUAAAGGGCUCGUAGGCGGCCAACUAAGUCGGAUGUGAAAUCCCCAAGCUUAACUUGGGAACUGCAUCCGAUACUGGAUGGCUUGAAUCCGGGAGAGGGAUGCAGAAUUCCAGGUGUAGCGGUGAAAUGCGUAGAUAUCUGGGGAAGAUACCGGUGGCGAAGGCGGCAUCCUGGACCGGCAUUGACGCUGAGGAGCGAAAGCUAGGGGAGCAAACGGG